GACAGAGGUGCCAAGCGUUAGGCGGAAUCACUGGGCUUAAAGCGUGUGUAGGUGGAUCGUUAAGUGCCUUGUGAAAUCCCACGGCUCAACCGUGGAAUGGCUGGGCAUACUGGCGGUCUUGAGCCAUUCAGGGGCUACUGGAACAAACGGUGGAGCGGUGAAAUGCGUAGAUAUCGUUUGGAACGCCAAAGGUGAAAACAGGUAGCUGGGGAUGUGCUGACACUGAGACACGAAAGCCAGGGGAGCAAACGGG
rnacentral:rRNA from 1 species